CCUGGCGGCUGUAGCGCGGUGGUCCCACCUGACCCCAUGCCGAACUCAGAAGUGAAACGCCGUAGCGCCGAUGGUAGUGUGGGGUCUCCCCAUGCGAGAGUAGGAAACUGCCAGGC
rnacentral:rRNA from 3 species